rnacentral:rRNA from 1 species
ACGGGAGGCAGCAGUGGGGGAUAUUGCGCAAUGGGGGAAACCCUGAUGCAGCAACGCCGCGUGAAGGAAGAAGGCCUUCGGGUUGUAAACUUCUGUCCUUGGUGACGAUAAUGACGGUAGCCAAGGAGGAAGCCACGGCUAACUACGUGCCAGCAGCCGCGGUAAUACGUAGGUGGCAAGCGUUGUCCGGAAUUACUGGGUGUAAAGGGUGCGUAGGCGGCUCAUAAAGUCAGAUGUGAAAUACCGAGGCUUAACCUCGGAGCUGCAUUUGAAACUUAUGGGCUUGAGUGAAGUAGAGGUAAGCGGAAUUCCUAGUGUAGCGGUGAAAUGCGUAGAUAUUAGGAGGAACACCAGUGGCGAAGGCGGCUUACUGGGCUUUAACUGACGCUGAGGCACGAAAGCAUGGGUAGCAAACAGGAUUAGAUACCCUGGUA